rnacentral:rRNA from 1 species
UAGAGUUUGAUCCUGGCUCAGGCGAACGGGCGGCGUGCCUAAUACAUGCAAGUCGAGCGGACAGAUGGGAGCUUGCUCCUGAUGUUAGCGGCGGACGGGUGAGUAACACGUGGGUAACCUGCCUGUAAGACUGGGAUAACUCCGGGAAACCGGGGCUAAUACCGGAUGCUUGUUUGAACCGCAUGGUUCAAACAUAAAAGGUGGCUUCGGCUACCACUUACAGAUGGACCCGCGGCGCAUUAGCUAGUUGGUGAGGUAACGGCUCACCAAGGCAACGAUGCGUAGCCGACCUGAGAGGGUGAUCGGCCACACUGGGACUGAGACACGGCUUACGGGAGGCAGCAGUAGGGAAUCUUCCGCAAUGGACGAAAGUCUGACGGAGCAACGCCGCGUGAGUGAUGAAGGUUUUCGGAUCGUAAAGCUCUGUUGUUAGGGAAGAACAAGUACCGUUCGAAUAGGGCGGUACCUUGACGGUACCUAACCAGAAAGCCACGGCUAACUACGUGCCAGCAGGCGGUAAUACGUAGGUGCAAGCGUUGUCCGGAAUUAUUGGGCGUAAAGGGCUCGCAGGCGGUUCCUUAAGUCUGAUGUGAAAGCCCCCGGCUCAACCGGGGAGGUCAUUGGAAACUGGGGAACUUGAGUGCAGAAGAGGAGAGUGGAAUCCACGUGUAGCGGUGAAAUGCGUAGAGAUGUGGAGGAACACCAGGCGAAGGCGACUCUGUAACGACAG